rnacentral:rRNA from 1 species
GGGUUGUGAGGUUAAGCGACUAAGCGUACACGGUGGAUGCCCUGGCAGUCAGAGGCGAUGAAGGACGUGCUAAUCUGCGAUAAGCGUCGGUAAGGUGAUAUGAACCGUUAUAACCGGCGAUUUCCGAAUGGGGAAACCCAGUGUGUUUCGACACACUAUCAUUAACUGAAUCCAUAGGUUAAUGAGGCGAACCGGGGGAACUGAAACAUCUAAGUACCCCGAGGAAAAGAAAUCAACCGAGAUUCCCCCAGUAGCGGCGAGCGAACGGGGAGCAGCCCAGAGCCUGAAUCAGUGUGUGUGUUAGUGGAAGCGUCUGGAAAGGCGCGCGAUACAGGGUGACAGCCCCGUACACAAAAAUGCACAUGCUGUGAGCUCGAUGAGUAGGGCGGGACACGUGGUAUCCUGUCUGAAUAUGGGGGGACCAUCCUCCAAGGCUAAAUACUCCUGACUGACCGAUAGUGAACCAGUACCGUGAGGGAAAGGCGAAAAGAACCCCGGCGAGGGGAGUGAAAAAGAACCUGAAACCGUGUACGUACAAGCAGUGGGAGCACGCUUAGGCGUGUGACUGCGUACCUUUUGUAUAAUGGGUCAGCGACUUAUAUUCUGUAGCAAGGUUAACCGAAUAGGGGAGCCGAAGGGAAACCGAGUCUUAACUGGGCGUUAAGUUGCAGGGUAUAGACCCGAAACCCGGUGAUCUAGCCAUGGGCAGGUUGAAGGUUGGGUAACACUAACUGGAGGACCGAACCGACUAAUGUUGAAAAAUUAGCGGAUGACUUGUGGCUGGGGGUGAAAGGCCAAUCAAACCGGGAGAUAGCUGGUUCUCCCCGAAAGCUAUUUAGGUAGCGCCUCGUGAAUUCAUCUCCGGGGGUAGAGCACUGUUUCGGCAAGGGGGUCAUCCCGACUUACCAACCCGAUGCAAACUGCGAAUACCGGAGAAUGUUAUCACGGGAGACACACGGCGGGUGCUAACGUCCGUCGUGAAGAGGGAAACAACCCAGACCGCCAGCUAAGGUCCCAAAGUCAUGGUUAAGUGGGAAACGAUGUGGGAAGGCCCAGACAGCCAGGAUGUUGGCUUAGAAGCAGCCAUCAUUUAAAGAAAGCGUAAUAGCUCACUGGUCGAGUCGGCCUGCGCGGAAGAUGUAACGGGGCUAAACCAUGCACCGAAGCUGCGGCAGCGACGCUUAUGCGUUGUUGGGUAGGGGAGCGUUCUGUAAGCCUGUGAAGGUGUGCUGUGAGGCAUGCUGGAGGUAUCAGAAGUGCGAAUGCUGACAUAAGUAACGAUAAAGCGGGUGAAAAGCCCGCUCGCCGGAAGACCAAGGGUUCCUGUCCAACGUUAAUCGGGGCAGGGUGAGUCGACCCCUAAGGCGAGGCCGAAAGGCGUAGUCGAUGGGAAACAGGUUAAUAUUCCUGUACUUGGUGUUACUGCGAAGGGGGGACGGAGAAGGCUAUGUUGGCCGGGCGACGGUUGUCCCGGUUUAAGCGUGUAGGCUGGUUUUCCAGGCAAAUCCGGAAAAUCAAGGCUGAGGCGUGAUGACGAGGCACUACGGUGCUGAAGCAACAAAUGCCCUGCUUCCAGGAAAAGCCUCUAAGCAUCAGGUAACAUCAAAUCGUACCCCAAACCGACACAGGUGGUCAGGUAGAGAAUACCAAGGCGCUUGAGAGAACUCGGGUGAAGGAACUAGGCAAAAUGGUGCCGUAACUUCGGGAGAAGGCACGCUGAUAUGUAGGUGAAGUCCCUUGCGGAUGGAGCUGAAAUCAGUCGAAGAUACCAGCUGGCUGCAACUGUUUAUUAAAAACACAGCACUGUGCAAACACGAAAGUGGACGUAUACGGUGUGACGCCUGCCCGGUGCCGGAAGGUUAAUUGAUGGGGUCAGCGCAAGCGAAGCUCUUGAUCGAAGCCCCGGUAAACGGCGGCCGUAACUAUAACGGUCCUAAGGUAGCGAAAUUCCUUGUCGGGUAAGUUCCGACCUGCACGAAUGGCGUAAUGAUGGCCAGGCUGUCUCCACCCGAGACUCAGUGAAAUUGAACUCGCUGUGAAGAUGCAGUGUACCCGCGGCAAGACGGAAAGACCCCGUGAACCUUUACUAUAGCUUGACACUGAACAUUGAGCCUUGAUGUGUAGGAUAGGUGGGAGGCUUAGAAGUGUGGACGCCAGUCUGCAUGGAGCCGACCUUGAAAUACCACCCUUUAAUGUUUGAUGUUCUAACGUUGACCCGUAAUCCGGGUUGCGGACAGUGUCUGGUGGGUAGUUUGACUGGGGCGGUCUCCUCCUAAAGAGUAACGGAGGAGCACGAAGGUUGGCUAAUCCUGGUCGGACAUCAGGAGGUUAGUGCAAUGGCAUAAGCCAGCUUGACUGCGAGCGUGACGGCGCGAGCAGGUGCGAAAGCAGGUCAUAGUGAUCCGGUGGUUCUGAAUGGAAGGGCCAUCGCUCAACGGAUAAAAGGUACUCCGGGGAUAACAGGCUGAUACCGCCCAAGAGUUCAUAUCGACGGCGGUGUUUGGCACCUCGAUGUCGGCUCAUCACAUCCUGGGGCUGAAGUAGGUCCCAAGGGUAUGGCUGUUCGCCAUUUAAAGUGGUACGCGAGCUGGGUUUAGAACGUCGUGAGACAGUUCGGUCCCUAUCUGCCGUGGGCGCUGGAGAACUGAGGGGGGCUGCUCCUAGUACGAGAGGACCGGAGUGGACGCAUCACUGGUGUUCGGGUUGUCAUGCCAAUGGCACUGCCCGGUAGCUAAAUGCGGAAGAGAUAAGUGCUGAAAGCAUCUAAGCACGAAACUUGCCCCGAGAUGAGUUCUCCCUGACCCUUUAAGGGUCCUGAAGGAACGUUGAAGACGACGACGUUGAUAGGCCGGGUGUGUAAGCGCAGCGAUGCGUUGAGCUAACCGGUACUAAUGAACCGUGAGGCUUAACCUUACAACGCCGAAG